UUGAGGUAGUAGAGCUUUUCCCUAAGUUUUUGAAGUAGAUAUUCUUCUAUUUCCUCUGCCAUUUUUCCUCAUCUUAAGUGAAACAACCGGGUCAAAUCCGAGUCCGGAAUAAAUCUCAGGUCAAAUCCCAAGUCCGAAUCGAAUCAAAUCCAUCAAAAUAAGGACUCAAACUACUGGCCCAACAGUAUCUUCUUGGGUCAUCUUAGCCCACCACAGGCUUCCAAAAGGUCAUGACUUGAAGGUACUAUUGGUAGUAACUUAUUUUCUUAUAUGUAGACAAAUUUUUCCCCUAUCUUUCGAUGUGGGACUGGAGUGUUACAAACUCCCCCACUUAAAUUUCUGACGUCCCCGUUAGAACCGAUCACACACACGGCCCAAAGAUCUUUGCCUCUCUAGCCAUUGUGGGAUAAUACCGGCUGGCUUCGUGUCCCCACCUCCGGACCUUCAUCUCUCCAUUGUGGGAUAAUACCACCAGCCUUCGUGUCCCCACCUCCGGCAACCCGAUCGGAUGACCCGACCCGAGCUUUCGAGAGUCGGCUUUGAUACCAUAUGAAACAACCCGGGUCAAAUCCCGAGUCCGGAAUAAAUCUCGGGUCAAAUCCCAAGUCCGAAUCGAAUCAAAUCCAUCAAAAUAAGGCCUCAAACUACUGGCCCAAUAGUAUCUUCUUGGGUCAUCUUAGCCCACCACAGGCUCCCAAAAGGUCAUGACUUGAAG
rnacentral:lncRNA from 1 species